UACGAAGGGGGCUAGCGUUGUUCGGAAUCACUGGGCGUAAAGGGCGCGUAGGCGGCUUUAUAAGUCGGGGGUGAAGGCCUGUGGCUCAACCACAGAAUUGCCUUCGAUACUGUAGAGCUUGAGACCGGAAGAGGUAAGUGGAACUGCGAGUGUAGAGGUGAAAUGCGCAGAUAUCGGGAGGAACACCAAUGGCGAAGGCAGCUCGCUGGGACGUGACUGACGCUGAGACGCGAAAGCGUGGGGAGCAAACAGG
rnacentral:rRNA from 1 species